CACGUAGGGCGCGAGCGUUGUCCGGAAUUAUUGGGCGUAAAGAGCUCGUAGGCGGCCUGUUGCGUCCGCUGUGAAAGCCCGGGGCUUAACCCCGGGUCGCAGUGGAUACGGGCAGGCUAGAGGUAGGUAGGGGAGAAUGGAAUUCCCGGUGUAGCGGUGAAAUGCGCAGAUAUCGGGAGGAACACCGGUGGCGAAGGCGGUUCUCUGGGCCUUACCUGACGCUGAAGAGCGAAAGCGUGGGGAGCGAACAGG
rnacentral:rRNA from 1 species